rnacentral:lncRNA from 1 species
GUCUCUUAAGUCAAACCAUUUCAUCUCAUUAGUUCUCACUUAAGAGACAAAUUUCAAUUUCGUCGCUUAAGUAUUCACUUAAGAGAGGAACCCAGUUUCGUCUCAUAAGUGCUUACUUAAUUUCGUCUCUUAAGUGGUUACUUAAGCGACAAAUUUGAAAAAUUUUCUCUCUUAAGCCUUUUUUCCUAGUAAUGACCACAAAUUGUUAUUGAGAUAAUUUCACUUUACUACCCUGAACUUUAGGUCUAAAAUCAGUUUGAUAUCUCAUCUUUUUUUUUAAUCAGUUUCAUACCUAAACUUUCAAAAUGACAUCAAUCUCGACCAAAAUGACUAAAAUAGCCCUGGUUAAUCUUUUUACCCUCUCAGAGUUAAGAAUGGCAGCGGCGACUGCCGGGGGAGGAGGAGGGGCUGCCGCCGGAGCCCAUUGCUGGUAGUAGGGGUGGAUGCCGGCGCCAGCCAUGUGGUGGAUUUGGAGGCAGGGAGAGNNNNNNNNNNNNNNNNNNNNGAGAGAGGGUAAAAAGAUUAACCAUGGCUAUUUUAGUCAUUUUGGUCGAGAUUGAUGUCAUUUUGAAAGUUUAGGUAUGAAACUGAUUAAAAAAAAGAUGAGGUAUCAAACUGAUUUUAGACCUAAAGUUCAGGGUAGUAAACUGAAUUUUUUCCAUUGUUAUUUGUCUCUAUUAGCUGAAGAUAAUGGAAAUAAUGGAAAUGAAACAAAUGUAAAAUUGAUGUUAUAAAUACAUGCAUGCCUGCUGAAGAAAAUUGUCCCUCUCAAGAAAUAGAAAUUAAUUAUGUGCAUGACCAAUAGAAAUUAAUUAUGUGCAUGACCAAGAAAAGGCUGUGAUGCUUGCAUCUCUUCUAUAUUACUAUGAACCCAAAUGGUAGUCAUAUAUGCCUCCCUUUCGAGAAAUUUUUCAACGUUACGGGAGGACCACGUGGCAGUAUGACGUGAUCCUACAUUCUAAUCAAAUAUUAACACAUAAAUUGUCACAUCCCGACCCUUAAAUUUUUACCUUAUUUACUAGCUUGACUAUAAUAAGAAUUUUACCGUCUCCGUCAAUGAAGUUAUAGUUUAAUUGGUCCCUAGAGGGGUUUUGGGGACGAUUAUUUCGGAGAGUGAUUCGUCGGAGAGUGAUUCGUAGGAGAAAAAUAUGACGACGGUAAAAAUGGUAAAUUUUAGCUAGUAAAAGGUAAUUUUUAUUAGGGUAUUUUUUUGGGGUGUAAUUUUUUUAGUGGAGUUGGGUAUAUUAUAGGCUUGGACCGGGUGUGGAGGCCCAAAGCCUUUCUUCUUCUUUCUUUUCUCUUCCCUCUUCCCCGAGCCCUCUCCCGAGCUCUCUCACCCCGGCGAACUUCCGGCCGUCCGCCUGCCGCCGUCCGGCCACCGUUCGCCGUCGCUCCGGUCCCAAACGGUCGGCCUCCGACCCAGCUAUCUCCCAGGACCAGUGACAGCCGCCCUAGCUCCGCCGUGAAGGAGCGCUCUCCCCCAAAAGGUCCGACUGUGUUAAGCUUCACGUCGUCAGAACUUCCUUCUCCGGCCACCAAUCCGGGGAAGCCAUAUAUGGUUUUGAAGGUCUCCAACCCAGUUGCCUUGCCAUAGAAGGACUCGGUCCAGUUUGCUUCAGGACGAGAGGAGUCCCGAGCAGAGGAAGCAUCAGAGCGUCAUCAGGCUUAGGCCUAAUUUGUGAGUGGACCUUUGUUUUAAUUGGAAAAGCAUGCGAUGAAUUAUCUUGUUGAUCAUUUAUUUCUUUUGAUGAGACUUAUUGAUUUCUCGAUUAUUUGGCAAUUUUUCCUCUUUUGGAGAGAUCUCAAAAAUGAGAUUUUCGGUGGAUAUGUUUAUGGAUAUUAUGAGUAUAGUAUGUAUAUAAAUGCUAACUAGCCAUACGUGCUUGAUCCGUCAUAAUGAGGUAAAAUGCCAUUAUGGCGUAAUGUGAGUGUUAGACACUAGCGUCAUAGCCCUAUAUAAAAACUACUUUUUUUCUAGUUUAUUUAGGUUUUCAUAUAGGGAGUCCACACGUAUAUAAAUACACCGUCCUCUUCGGUUAUAAUGAGGAAAAAUACCAUUAUGGCGCAACGUGAGCGUUAGACGCCAACGUUGUAGCCUUGUAUAAAUUUCUAUUUUUCUAAAUUGUUUCUAGGAUUCAUACAAGGAGUCUGACGGGUGUAAAUACAUACGAAUAUAUGAUUAUAUAUAAUUUAGCCUGAGAGGCUCCAUUUUAUUUGAGUUGGUGACUAGCCGGAGCUAGUCGUGAAAUUGCCAGUUUAUGAGUUGAGUGCUUUUAAGCUGCCGCAUACAGUAUAUUUUCUUUGGAAAUUAAAAUGGGGAAAGCAUAAAUAUUUUUAUUAAUUUAUUUUUGUCCACUCACUCUAACGUGUUAAUAAAUGUGUUCCCCUGGGCCCUUCGUUUUAAAUUGCCCAGUCUGCAGAGUACGGAUUGGAUCUAGUAGGAGACGAGGCAUAGUCACCCGCUUUUCCACCACUUUUCAUCAGUAGGUUACCUGUUUAACCUACCAGCAUUUUCUUGCUUCCUCUAGUUAGCAGCUCUGAUUACCUGAAGGAUAAUGUUAUUAUUUCGGUUGUGAGCGAAGGCAUGUUGACAUUUUAGAAUAUUUGUCGGAGGAUUUAUGUCACAUCCCGACCCUUAUAUUUUUACCUUAUUUACUAGCGUGAUUAUAAUAAGAAUUUUACCGUCUCGAUCAUUGAGUAAAUAGUUUAAUUGGUCCCUAGAGGGGUUUCGGGGACGAUUAUGUGCGGAGGAUUAUUCGUAUGAGGAAAAUACGACGAUGGUAAAAUUAGUAAAUUUUAGCUAGUAAAAGGUAAUUUUUAUUCGGGUAUUAUUUUUCGGGGUGUUGAAUUUUGGAAUUAUGGGUUAAAAGGAGAGUUGGGUCGGCUGGGCCGAGCCCAACCCAUUUCUUCUUCCUUUCUCUCUCUCUCCCUCCCGAUUUUUCUUCUCUUCCCACCCGGUUUUCUCCUUUCUCCACCCGGAAAGUUCUCCACCGCCGUCCGCCGCCGUCCGGCCGCCCCAGACCGCCACACCGGUCCCAAUCGAUCGACCUCCAACCCAGCAACCUUCCUGGACCGGUGAGAGGAGCCCUAACGCCGCCGUGAGUGAGCGGUGCCGCCCGAAAGCUUCGACUGCCGAAUUGGUUUUUUUCGCCGGAACUUCCUCCUCCGGCCACCAAUCCGGGCAAGCUUGGUAUGGUUUUGUAGCCCUCCAACCCAGCAACCUUGCCCUAAAAGGACUCACUCCCUCUUGAGCUAGGUAAGGAGAAAUUUGAGGUGGAAGUUUUAUGGUGUUUUUGAUGUUUUUAGUCGAUUGCCNNNNN